GUCUUGAACUUCACGUUCUUCACAGCAAAUAGUAGGUCGACGCCCAUCACCAGAGUCGGAUCUGAGAAAACUAGUUUCCCAUACAUGAACAUGCACCACCUUCCUCAGAAAGGCACGUGUCUGCUUCAUUUUUGAGAACACUUUAGUGGAAUUCUCUCCUAUUCUCCCAGAGCAUCAGUUUGCAACAGGCAUCAGUCACUCAGACAGGAUGGAGUGCCAUGCAACAGCUUGCAAGCGUAUCGCAAGUGUGUAAAUUUAUUUCAAAGGACAGUUAACAAGUUUUCAUAUCCUGACAUCCACAGAGGACACAUCCUACUAUAUGUCUCUUGACUGUUAUUAAUAAAAGGCUUAUGUUCCAGUACAA